GGUGGUAAAAUUUUUGCAAGAAUAUUCUUGCACAUAUUGUUUAGCUUUACUGCAAGCAUUGCUAUUGAUGUUACUUAAGUACGCACGUGACAGUGAUGGUAGUGUAAGAUAGUUCUAAAAUUAAUGAUGGGUGAGUAGAAAUUUUGUUUUUGCAUGCAUUAAUGCUAAUAUUCCACUGGUGUUAAACAGCUGUUUAGAACUGUCACGAACUCGGGAAUCCGAUUGUCCAGUUGUCUAAUUAAAACAGAGGAGACAGAUCACUGUUGUGGACGUUGACUGUCCCUAAUUUCCGCUCAAUGCUCUAAAUAUUAAAGUGAAGAAAUUCAAUCAAGUUCGGAUAGUGGGAAACCAUGACUCUCGUAAGGUAGCUAAAUCCUUCGUCAUCUAAUUUUUGACGCGCAUGAAUGGAUUUAUAAGAUUCCCACUGUUCCGAUAUACUUAAUUAGACAGGAGAGCUUGAGGGAAAGGGUUGUAAGCACAUUGGAGAAAGAAAACCUUGUUAAGCUUGAUUUUAGUCCAGUCCAGCUCUGUAAAGAGUCUUGAACGUGUAGCAUGAGUGGCAGACAACCUUUUAUUUCUAAAUACCUAUCAGCAGUAUACCACUACUUUCAUCAACUCUUUACCCUUUCUGUAAAACGCAAAUUAUAUACCAUAAAAGUUUCAAAAUAAUUAUAUUAAGUACGGUAAUUACUCAGUGACAGUACGAUCCGAAGACAGUGUUAAGCAAGGAGUUUGAAUGGUGCAAUACAUGCGUCAAAUAGUAAUGCAAGUGACUUAACUCAGAGAGAACAGAAACCUCUCGUAGAUAAAAAGGCAAAAGCUCGCUUGACGUUAAUUUUCAACGAAUACAGUCUACGAAAGCGCGGCCCGCAGAUCAUUUUAGUUAGAAGGUCAAAAAAGAUACCACGGGAAUAACUGAAUAACGCGUCCAUGGUAACGUUACUUUUUUAUCUUUCAAUAUCGCUUUUUCUAUCACUUUGAAGCAGAAUUUUUAAAGAUUGGAUUGUUUACCCAGUA
rnacentral:ncRNA from 1 species